rnacentral:rRNA from 1 species
ACGGGUGAGUAACGCGUGGGAAUCUACCCAAUUUCUUCGGAACAAUCUGAUGCGGAAACUUCAGCUAAUACCUGGAUACGCCCUACGGGGGAAAGAUUUAUCGGAAUUGGAUGAGCCCGCGUUGGAUUAGCUAGUUGGUGACGGUAAUGGACUCACCAAGGCGACGAUCCAUAGCUGGUCUGAGAGGAUGAUCAGCCACACUGGGACUGAGACACGGACCAGACUCAUACGGGAGGCAGCAGUGGGGAAUUUUGGACAAUGGGGGAAACCCUGAUCCAGCCAUUCCGCGUGAGUGAAGAAGGCCUUCGGGUUGUAAAGCUCUUUCGGCAGGAACGAAACGGUUACGGCGAAUACCCGUGACCACUGACGGUACCUGAAGAAGAAGCACCGGCUAACUACGUGCCAGCAGCCGCGGUAAUACGUAGGGUGCGAGCGUUAAUCGGAAUUACUGGGCGUAAAGCGUGCGCAGGCGGUUAUGCAAGCCAGACGUGAAAGCCCGGGCUAACCUGGGAAUGGCGUUGGGACUGCAUGGUAGAGUACGUCAGAAGGGGGGUGGAAU